GACGAGCUCUCCAAACGUUAUUCGGUAUCACUGGGCUUAAAGAGUUCGUAGGCGGUCUGGUAGGUGAGGUGUGAAAUCCCCCGGCUCAACCGGGGAACUGCGCUUCAAACCACUUGACUUGAGGGAGACAGAGGUGGGCGGAACAGAUGGUGGAGCGGUGAAAUGCGUUGAUAUCAUCUGGAACACCGGUGGCGAAAGCGGCCCACUGGGUCUCUACUGACGCUGAGGAACGAAAGCUAGGGUAGCGAACGGG
rnacentral:rRNA from 1 species